UGCUGGUGGCUUCGCAAUUGUACUCUGUGAACCCCGCCAGGAUCGGAAGAUAGCAACGGUAGCAGAAAUAUGAUGUGCCGAAGUAUUGCUAGUAGGG
rnacentral:SRP_RNA from 1 species